CCUACGGGUGGCAGCAGUGGGGGAUAUUGCACAAUGGGGGAAACCCUGAUGCAGCGACGCCGCGUGUGGGAAGACGGUCUUCUGGAUUGUAAACCACUGUCCCCAGGGACGAAAAUGACGGUACCUGGGGAGGAAGCUCCGGCUAACUACGUGCCAGCAGCCGCGGUAAUACGUAGGGAGCAAGCGUUGUCCGGAAUUACUGGGUGUAAAGGGAGCGUAGGCGGGGAUGCAAGUUGGGUGUCAAAACUACCGGCUCAACCGAUAGUCGCACUCAAAACUGCAACUCUUGAGUGAAGUAGAGGCAGGCGGAAUGCCUAGUGUAGCGGUGAAAUGCGUAGAUAUUAGGAGGAACACCAGUGGCGAAGGCGGCCUGCUGGGCUUUUACUGACGCUGAGGCUCGAAAGUGUGGGGAGCAAACAGGAUUAGAUACCCGUGUAGUC
rnacentral:rRNA from 1 species